CAAACAAAAAAAAAACAAGAAAGAAAGAAAGAAAAAAGUGGAUGGCAAGUCCAGGGAGCUAGAAAUAGAGGGCAGAAGUUCAUAGUUUUGGAAGGCCAGACUGAACACUGGGCUAGCUGCUUUUUUUUUUUUUUCUUUUUUGAGACACAGUCUCGUUCAGUCACCCAGGCUGGAGUGCAGUGGUGGGAUCUUGGCUCACUGCAACCUCUGCCUCCCGGGUUCAAGCAAUUCUUCUGCCUCAGCCUCCUGAGUAGCUGGGACUACAGGCACGCACCACCAUGCCCGGCUAAUUUUUGUAUUUUUAGUAGAGACGGGGUUUCACCAUAUUGGACAGGCUGGUCUUGAACUCCUGACCUCGUGAUCCGCCUGCCUUGACCUCCCAAAGUGCUGGGAUUACAGGCGUGAGCCACUGCACCUGGCCGCUAGCUGCUUUUUUAAAAAUUGUGGUAAAAUGCACAUAUAAUAAAAUUUACCAUCUUAACUAUUUUUAAGUGCACAAUUCAGUGACAUUAGUACUUUCACAUUGUUGUGCUACCAUCAAUAUUGGGCCCAUCAAUAUCAUCCAUAGAACCCUUUUCAUCUUGCAAAACUAAAACUCUGUACCCAUUAAGUGACAAUUCCCCAUCCCCCUGUCACCCAGCCCUGGUGACCACCAUUCUAUUUUCCAUCUCUAUGAAUUUGACUAUUCCAGGUACCCCAUGUAAGUGGAAUCAUACUAUAUUUUUCCUUUUGUGAUUGGCUUAUUUCACUUGGCGUGAUGUCCUCAAGGUUCAUUCAUAUUGUAGCAUGUGUCAGAAUUUCCUUCCUCUUUAAGGCUGAAUAAUAUUCCAUUUUAUGUAUAUAUCACAUUUUGCUUAUACAUUCAUCUGUUGAUGGACACUUGGUGCUAUUCUUUGAAUGUAUUCCCCAAGCUCAUGGGUUGGAAACUUAAUUCCCAAUUCAACAGUGUUGAGACCUUUAAGAGGUGAGUAGGUCAUGAGGGCUCUCCCCUCAUGAAUGGAUUAAAGCAGUUAUCACACGAGUGGGCUCCUGAUAAAAGGAUUCAUUUGACCUCCUUUUCUCCCUCUCAUGCUCUCUUGCCAUUCCACUUUCCACCAUGGAAUGGCACAGCAAGAAGGCUCUCACCAGACGUCAAGCAUUUGCCAGUACCAUGCCCUUGGACUUCCCAGUUUCCAGAACCAUGAGCCAAAUACAUUUCUUUUCUUUAUAAAUUACCCAGUCUCAGGUAUUCCGUUACAGCAACACAAAACGGACUAAGACACUUGGGUUACUUUCACCUUUUGGCUACUGUGAAAAAUGCUACUAUGAACAUGCAUGUACAAAUAUCUCCUCAGGUCCAUGCUUUCAAUUAUUUUGGGUAUAUGCUAAGAAUUGCUGAAUCACAUGAUAAUUCUAUUUUUAAUUUUUUGGGGGCCCACCAUACUGUUUUCUAUAGCUAUUGCACCAUUUUACAUUCCCAUCAACAGUGCACAAGAGUUCCAAUUUCUCCAUACCUUUGCCAACAUUUAUUAUUUUCUGGGUUUUGGUAGUAGCCAUCCUAAUGGGUUUGAGGGGGUAUCCCAUUGUGGUUUUGAUUUGCAUUUCCCUAAUGAUUAAUGACAUUGAGCAUUUUUUUAUAUGCUAUUGCCAUUUGUAUAACAUUUUCUGAGAAAUGUCUAUUCAAGUUCUUUGCCCAUUUUAAAAUUGAGGGUUUUAUUGUUGAGUUGUGAGAGUAUUUUUUGUUUUGUUUUGUUUUUUGUUUUGAGACAUGAUCUCACUCUGUCACCCUGGCUAGAGUGCAGUGGUGCGAUCACAGCUCACUGCAGUAUUGACCUCCAAGGCCCAAGCGAUCCUCCCACACCAGCCUCCUAAGUAGCUGGGACUAUAGAUGCACACCGCCAUGCUCAGCUAAUUUUGUUCUUUUUUUUUUUUUUUUUUUUGUAGAGACAGGGGUCUCACUAUGUUGCCCAAGCUGGUCUUGAACUCCUGGGCUCCAGCAACCCUCCCACCUCAGCUUCCCAAAGUGCUAGGAUUACAGGCAUGAGCCACCAUGCCCGGUGUAAGAGUUCUUCAUAUAUUCUGGAUACUAAACCCUUAUCAGAUGUAUGAUUUGCAAACAUUUUCUCCCAUUGCGUGGGAUGCCUUUUACUCUGUUGAUGUGUCCUUUAAUGCACAGAACUUUUUAAUGUUGUUGUAGUCCAACUUUUCUUUUUCUUUUGUUGUCUGUACUUUCGUUGUCAUAUCCAAGAAAUUAUUGCCAAACCCAAUGUCAUGAAGUUUUUCUUCUGUUUUCUUCUAAGAGUUUUAUAGUUUUAGGUUCUACAUCUAGGUUUUCAAUCCAUUUUGAUUUAAUUUUUGUAUCUGGCAUAAAUUUGGGGUCCAAUUUCUCUUGCAAGUUGAUAUCCAGUUUUCCCAAUGUUAUCUGUUGAAAAAACUGUCCUUUCCCCAUUGAAUGGUUUUGGCACCCUUAUGGAAAAUCAUUUGACCAUAUGUGCAGGUAUUUAUUUCUGGACUCCAAAAGGGCUAUUUGUUGAGUUUAUGUGAGGAUCAGGUGAUAACUGUGGUAAAGGUGAGUCAGAUCAGGUUCUAUGCUUGGAUGACCGCUUUGAGUAAAUGAUGCAUAGUGUGAGGCUUUAUAGCCGUCUUUGGCCUAUUUUGGAGAAUCUUACAGAUCUCCGGAAAGCAGCUCAGAUCUUAUCUUAAUUGUGACCAGUUGGAUGGACUGUGGUGAUGCUUAGAGGUGCUGCUAGGUAUUGUGAGUAGAAGUCCUACAUGCUGUGGCAGGAGGCAUUCUGCACAGAGUUAUGGGCAGCAUUGUUAAAAGCGACCUUGGAUGCCAAAGGGUAGAUGGUACAAAAGCUAUACCUUAAGGACCCAUUUCACAUGCUUUGUUUGGCUUUUGCCGUAUAGCACAUGGCUAGAUUUGUUCUCUGAGGUUCUUGAAAAGGGUCUAAAAAAUGCGGAUACCAAUUGAUAUGCUGAGGUUGGCGAAACUAUGGUGGCCAAAUGGUGAUGGUCUGUUGGAGCUAAAGAUUUAAGUAGGAGAUGCUUACCACAUUUCAGACAAAUGGGCAUCUAUCCUGAACUGCAGGAAUCUAAAGAGCAGGGGUUCAUUUCAUCAGCCACCUGCAUUUCAGUAUUCUCAGUAUGCAUCACACUUUCUGGCACACAGUAGAUGCUUAAUAAGCAUUUGAUUAUCUGAAUUAAACAUAAGCCAAAGAAACAGCAAUGACUUUCUUAAAUAAGAAAACUCAACUUUUCGGUUAGCAAGUUUCUUAAGGCUAAU
rnacentral:lncRNA from 10 species